GCCAGAGCCAGAACUAGCCACAGCAGGGACAAAGCCACCUGGGCAGCUACUGGAGCCACGGGGAGUCGCAGGAAGGGAAGGCCCAGGAAGGCCUUGAGCACCUGCUGCCUCCACCCCUCCUGAGCGAAGGCCCCAACACCUCACUGAUGGGCUCAGAGCCCCCCUGUAACUUCUCCACUGCUGCCCACCGGUGCAAUGUGGGUGGCUUGCAGGCUGCGGUGAUCAUCAUCCCAACCCUGCUCUCCUCGUCCACUCUGCUGGUCAUAAGCUGCAUCUUAUGGAAGACCUGCCGUCGGUGGUCUCGGGUCACCCACCCCAGCCUGCCAUCCACAUGAGGGGCCCAGUGACCAACAUUAUUUGAGAUGGUGGCUUUUCCAUCACCCUGGGUUUCUGACUACGAAAAGCAGAGCCUUCUGUUGACCCACGAUGUUCAAGUUGU